rnacentral:lncRNA from 1 species
CUACAUAUUGAAAACUAAUAUUAAAAAUAUUAAAAUCUAUUGGGAGAAAAUCUCCCCCUAAACGAGACUCUUUAAACGACUACAUUGUGGAUGCUACUGUAUUGUGGUAUGAGAAGGAGUCUUCUAUUUAUAGAUGUCCAAAAUCUUUCCUCCAAGAAAGAGGUUAGCCAAAUAUGGAAAAGUUUUAUAUUUUUUCUUUCAAGAAAAGUAAAAAUAUUUAUGGUUACUUUUAUUUUCCUUUCAAGAAAAAGUAAAAUUUAAAUUUGGUAAAAAAAUCGGGGCAAAAAUCCUAACAAAUCUCCCCUUUUUGACUUGAUUUUCUUCACUUGACCCGCCUUCUUCACAUCACAUGCAUGAACUUCUUUCUUAAUAUAAUCUUCAUAACUGUUGCUUGCCAUGAUUAAAAAUAAAGUUUAAAAUAUCAUGGUUGAAAAUGGGUUAAAAAUUAAUAUUUUAUUUUUAUUUUUAAAGAUGCAGCAACAGGAAUGUUGAAAAUAUGGUUGAAACUUGUUCUUCACGUGUAGUUGGACAAAAAUCUUCAUUCUCAUCCAAAUUGUUGCAGUUUGAUUUUGAAACCGCUUUGAACCUGUUUAAUCUCGUCUCACCACACCAUUGGACCAUUGAACUGUAAGCUCUGAUACCAUUUGUUGGGUUCGAAAUUGAGAGGGCGUUAUGCGGAAGCUUAAAGUUUGCAAAACAUAAGAUGACAAAGAAAAACAUACUAAAAACAUAUUAUUGAUGUAAUUUGGUCAAGUGACCUACAUAUUGAAAACUAAUAUAAAAAACAUUAAAAUCUAUCGGGAGAAAAUCGCCCCUAAACAAGACUCUUUAAACGACUACAUUGUGG